GGAGCAGCUCAGUGGUAGAGCACCUGCUUUGCAUGCAGAAGGUUGCAGGUUCAAAUCCUGACAUCUCCA